rnacentral:rRNA from 1 species
AGCGGCGUAAGGGGCAGUAAUACCUGGGAACGUACCCUUUGGUCGGGGAUAGCUGCUGGAAACGGCGAGUAAUACCCGAUGAACUCGAGAGAGCAAAGGCUUGCCGCCGGAGGAGCGGCCCAGGCGAUAUUAGCUAGUUGGUGGGGUAAUGGCCUACCAAGGCUUAGAUGUCUAGCGGGUGUGAGAGCACGACCCGCGCCACUGGCACUGAGACACUGGCCAGACACCUACGGGUGGCUGCAGUCGAGAAUCUUCGGCAAUGAGCGCAAGCUUGACCGAGCGACGCCGCGUGCGGGAUGAAGGCCUUCGGGUUGUAAACCGCUUUGGUCCGAGAGAAAGGGCAACUUGAUCGAUCGGAGAAACAAGGACGGGCUAAGUUCGUGCCAGCAGCCGCGGUAAGACGAACCGUCCAAACGUUAUUCGGAAUCACUGGGCUUAAAGGGCGCGUAGGCGGCCGAGCGGGUCGCGGGUGAAAUCCUCCAGCUUAACUGGAGAACUGCCCUCGAUACCACUGCGGCUCGAGGAAGGAAGGGGUCAUGGGAACUGUCGGUGGAGCGGUGAAAUGCGUUGAUAUCGACAGGAACGCCUGUGGCGAAAGCGCAUGACUGGUCCUUUUCUGACGCUGAGGCGCGAAAGCCAGGGGAGCAAACGGGAUUAGAUACCCCGGUAGUCCUGGCCUUAAACGAUGAGAACUAGGUAG